CGCUAUUCACUGAAUUGUACUAUCGAAUCACAUCAAUUACAAUCUCAAUUUGGCAUUUGACAUGUCUAUGGUGUAACCCUAUUUGUUGUCGUCGCUUCUCUGUUGUUUCUAAAAACACUAGUACAACAAGGCAAGGCAAGCAGCAGACUAGUGCAAUGCAUGGCAAGCAGCAGAGCAGUCCAUGGGGUUGGCUUCGUGGCCUCGACGGCUUGUUUGGAGCUCAACCUGCAAAAGACCAGGACAACCGAGAGAAUGGUCUUGGCGUCCUUUUCGCAUCAAGUUCUUCAAAGAGCUUCAUGGCCCGGUAUUCUUGUUUGCAGCACACAAACGCCGUUGGUAUUGCAUUUUUCUUGUUUCCUUUAUAAUUUAGAUCAUCCUUUCUAACACCAAACUCCUUGUUCUUCGCAAAACCUAAAGUAGAACAUAUACGCUUCCUUCUCACUUUUGAGUUUUGAAUGUCUGCCUGACCAUGUUGUCGUGCUUCAUAUAUUCAUCAAUCGAAAUGCCUCCACCACCCAUGCCGUUAUACUGCCACCAGAAACAGCAAUACAAUGUUAUAUAUGCAGACGAAAGAAAAUACUCUAGAACUAAAAUCAAUUAAUUAUAACUUGCCAAUGAAUAUCAGCUGUAACUGAAACGAGAAUUGCUGAUGUCCUGUUAUUAUCCUGAAAACAGAUGUGUGUGCAGCGAUGGCGGGGAGCAGCAACAGGGGGGGAAUACUGGCGGUGGAGCAACGGCGAUUUCUUCACGGAGCCCUCGUUCCAGAGCUAGUGCACAUACGGCGGCACACUCGAGGCCCCCGUGCCGCGACCAGCACACACAUAGCUACGAGAGGAGAGAGAUAGGGCAAGGACUGACCUACCUAUGUGAAAGAGCUCCAUCACGACGCGAGGGGGAAACCGAUCUUGGGGCACCGGUCAAAGUGAGGAAUGGCAGAUGAACUGAUAUGCGAUGGGAUCGAAUCGUGAUUAAUUAGUACGAGUACAUCAUUUUAUUAAGGUGUGAUUAAG
rnacentral:lncRNA from 1 species